rnacentral:rRNA from 1 species
UACGUAGGGACCAAGCGUUGUUCGGAUUUACUGGGCGUAAAGGGCGCGUAGGCGGCAAUUCAAGUCAUCUGUGAAAUCUCCGGGCUUAACUCGGAAUGGUCAGGUGAUACUGCUUUGCUAGAGUGCAGAAGGGGCAAUCGGAAUUCUUGGUGUAGCGGUGAAAUGCGUAGAUAUCAAGAGGAACACCUGAGGUGAAGACGGGUUGCUGGGCUGACACUGACGCUGAUGCGCGAAAGCCAGGGGAGCAAACGGG